rnacentral:rRNA from 1 species
CUCAGUCGUAACGAUGCCGACUAGCGAUCCGAGGGCGUUCAUUUAUGACUCCCCUGGCGGCUUCCGGGAAACGAAGUUCUUGGGUUCCGGGGGAAGUAUGGUUGCGAGCUGAAACUUAAGGGAAUUGACGGAAGGGCACCACCAGGGGUGGAGCCUGCGGCUCAAUUUGACUCUCCACGGGAAAACUCACCCGGCCCGGACCCCGGACGGAUUGACAAAAUGAGAGCUCUUUCUUGAUUCGGUGGGUGGUGGUGCAUGGCCGUUCUUAGUUGGUGGAGCGAUUUGUCUGGUUAAUUCCGAUAACGAACGAGACUCUAGCCUGCUAAAUAGGCAGCGGAUCCUUAGUCCGCUGAACUUCUUAGAGGGACAAGCAGCUUCUAGCUGCACGAGAUUGAGCAAUAACAGGUCUGUGAUGCCCUUAGAUGUUCGGGGCUGCACGCGCGCUACACUGAAGGAAUCAACAUGCUUCUCAACCUUGCCCGGAAGGGCUAGGUAACCCGUUGAAACUCCUUCGUGAUUGGGAUAGGGAAUUGCAAUUAUUUCCCUUGAACGAGGAAUUCCCAGUAAGUGCGGGUCAUCAGCUCGCGCUGAUUACGUCCCUGCCCUUUGUACACACCGCCCGUCGCUACUACCGAUUGGAAGUAGACGAGAGGCCUCGGGAUCGGUUCCUGGACCGCCUUUCGGUGGACCAUGGUACUGAGAACUUGGUCUAUCGCCUAGUUCUAGAGGAAGUAAAAGUCGUAACAAGGUUUCCGUAGUGAACCUGCGGAAGGGAUC